GUAUCCACCAUACUAACCACCUUAUCAUCAACAAAUAAUAAAUUUUCACACAUUUCUUCACUCCAAGAUAUUCAAACUCUGAAAAAAGGCCAAAAGCAAUUAACCUGAAUAUAAAAUCAAUGGAGAUCUUUAAAAAUUGACCUCAAUGAACCCGUUUCCUUGAAAUGAAAAAAAAAACAACUGAUUUUUUUAUCAACUACAAAAGCAAGAUCCACCUGGACAAACAACUCGAGCAGCAUUGACGUUAAUUAUUUAUUUAUCGACGCAUUCAAUUGAAAACUGAUCUAUCUAAGGUAGGUGACCUCAAUAAGUUACAUAACAGAUUGGAAGUUGGAUUGAUAAACACAGUGAAGAAAGGAGAAAGCGGGAGGGGCUAUGGGUGACUUGGAGCCGCGUCCUUGUAGAUCGAUUCUUGUUGUUCUAUUCUCCGUCGCCGCAGCCCACAAAAAAGUGCUUUGACGGUCUUUGUGGACCAGUCACACGUGCUUGCCGGCAGGCUGAUUUUAUUAUAAAUUAUAAUACAUGACACAUACACAACUGCAUCGUGAAAGUGACGAGAAUAUUCGAAAAUUGACUCUCACACCCAAGACUUGACCUAAAUAUGUUCGGUUCACAUGUUAAAAGUUUGUGUCUCUGCAUGUAUCUAACGCGGUCGAUGUGUAAGGCGACCAACACAAUCUUAAAUGUUUAGCAUACGCAGACCUGGGCCUACCAUAGUUGGACACACGUCAUCAUGACGGUCUGACGGACUAUUAUCACCAGAUAUGUACACACGUAAAUAUCUUCAACUCAACUCAACUUUACACAUGUAUAUAUAAAAAUGUAAAUAUAUAUAAAAGUAUUGAAGACCGAAGACUGAAGGAAGAAGAAAGAAGAAAGAGGAGGAAGAAUUGGUUGCCGAGAAAAAGACAAAGAAGAGAAGACACGCGCAUGCAGGCCUGGCAGUCCAAUGCCCCCUUGUGGGAGGUUGUCGACGUGGUUUCGACCGUCUACACGUGCAACCGCUCCACUGGGUCAUUGCUCCUCAUGUUCUGGCUCUCUAUAUCUCUUACCUUACUGUCAAACUCCGAAAGUGUAUAGUAUGUAUUAACCCCACUCACCACUCACAUACAAUAAUAUUAUAUACAUAUAUAUAAAAUGCUUAUUGUUAUUGUUAUACGCCGACACUUGUCCGCGGGUUUUACUUUUUUUUUCGUCUAGUAUUAUGAGUUUGAAUUUUAUUUUAAAACUAGCCCCUUACCUAGGUUUUAAAUUUUUGAGUUAACGGUUCCAGUUGCUCACUAAAUUCUUCUAUUCGUAGUGUUACAAAGAACUUAAUUUCUUUAUGUAUGAGCUUUCAGCUAUGCAUCAGAGGCUCCUAGAGGUCUUUCAAGGCCGGACGUUUGAUAAUUUAUAAUUUAGUUUUAGUUUUAAAGCUACUUAACUAGUUAAGU